rnacentral:rRNA from 1 species
AUGAAGGAACACUUUGAUGUUCGCAACGUGAGUGGAAUUGACCACUUCGAGCGAUCUCUUCGGUCCCGGUGGUCGACAAUCAACAAGGAUUGUCAAAAGUGGGCGGCCGCACAAAAGGCGGUUGACAAGUUGAACCCAAGUGGCACCAAUGAGGACGAUAGAGUAAGUGCCAUUUCAUCCAUGUUCAUCAUACUUGUUGUUGGUGUUUGA